UCCAGUCACUUUUUAAAACAUUUGAAGUCUGCAUAUACAGCAUCACAAUGCAAUCUUCCUAUACAUGAAAUAGUUAUUUAUUUGGACUCUCAUUUUUUGUCCCUGCUUAUUGAAAAUGCGAGUGUGUUAUGUUACUCUUUAUUGCAGCAGCAUUACCUUCAGCGGUGCACGUUUUACCUCAAUAGAAACAAGUUUAAGAAACUGAGUGCAGGCCUGAACAUGGCCCAACUUGCAGGCAUAAUUUCUAAAGUGGUCAAUUGGAAUUCACGAGGAACACAUGGAUAUUGUAAAAGUUAAACAAGUACAAGCUUGCCCAGAGUUUUCCUAAGCUGUUUGUGAUUGUUGUAUGGUUCUGGGUUGAGCAUGUGUAUCUCAAGUUCCUUGAAUACAGAACCACCAUGGAGUUCCAGAACCUUUGUGGAGACCCUGGAUUUAAAUUUGGUGUCAAAUUCAGAGAUGUGCCUGCCUUAUCAGUAUGUGCUGUUGAAUAAAUCUCACAGCUGUCUUGCAGAACGCUGUCUGAUAGUCUGAUAAGUCCACCUCGGGACUUCAUGAUGAUCAGUGUGUGUCCAAGUUCAUCUUGAGAAGAGCUCUCGACACUGAGUGCUGAUAAACAGGCUGAAUGUCACUUUGCUGAAAUUCCAGCAUAUCAGAAGGUGUUGCCUCCAGCACCACUGUACUAUCCAGUGGAGAACAGUUGCCACUAGCUCUGAUGGCAUGUCUUGCUACCAUUCUUUUGAAAGCUG